rnacentral:rRNA from 1 species
AGGAUGAACGCUGGCGGUGUGCCUAAUACAUGCAAGUCGAACGAGAUCUUCGGAUCUAGUGGCGGACGGGUGAGUAACACGUUGGUACCUACCCCUAAGUGGGGAAUAACUGCCCGAAAGGGUGGCUAAUACCGCAUAAUCCCGCAAGGGUAAAGCAGUAAUGCGCUUAGGGAGGGGCCUGCGUCUGAUUAGCUAGUUGGUAGGGUAAUGGCCUACCAAGGCGACGAUCAGUAGCUGGAUCGAGAGGUUGACCAGCCACACUGGGACUGAGACACGGCCCAGACUCCUACGGGAGGCAGCAGUAGGGAAUCUUGCGCAAUGCGCGAAAGCGUGACGCAGCAACGCCGCGUGGGGGAAGAAGGCCCUCGGGUUGUAAACCCCUUUCAGUUGGGACGAAGCUUCGUCGGUUAAUAGCCGACUGGAGUGACGGUACCUUCACAAGAAGCACCGGCUAACUACGUGCCAGCAGCCGC